UUUUUGAAACUGUCUUCCUGUCUUUUGUUAAUAAUUUAGUUCUUAAAAGAAAACAACAUGUUCCGCAAUCCAGGAAGUCGGCUACAGGGUGUCUGCUUCCAAAUCCUAUUGCCCUACUCCUGAGCUUUCUACAUUGCUACAGACCCUCUAAAAGUCCUACUGAAGCAUCCUGUUGUAGAGUCAUAGGUCCUGGAAGUCCAGGCGCCCCCAGUAAACCAGAUUCGCCCACCUCCCCCUAACAAGGAGAAGAAAUGAAAAUGAAAAAAAUGACUCAUGCUUAGAGACUGGAGUAAAGAAAAGCAAGGAGCAAACAAAAUUACCAUUCAGUUAAUGUACAAUUAAAAAGCAACAGAUAUUAAGGGGCAUAUUUAUUAUGCUGUGUAAAACAAAAUUCGGCUAAACGACGAAUAUCUCAAGGUAAGGUGUUCCAGAAACUCCAGGCAAUCCUGGAUCUCCUAGAGGUCCUGAUGGCCCUGGUGGUCCAGGUGGACCUGGGAGCCCAGGUGGUCCUUGGAUUCCUGUCUGUCCCUGCUCACCCUGAAGUUAAGAAAAGAGAAAUUACAUAACCAAAAAGGUAAAGUGACAUCAUGCAAAGCAGAAAAAAAGCAAAGUAAAGAGUACCUGGUAGAUCCGUCUUUUAAUGACUGACGGCUGAGCCACCCGCACAGUAUUAAUGAGAGGCAACAGCUGAAGGUGGAUACCAGCCCAGAAAUUCACAGUGCAAAGGUGCAAGGAUACAGUAAAAGGAAGGACAGGAAAUGUGCCAAGCCAGGAGAGUGAGGGAAGCCAGAAGAAAGAGAAGAAAAAGAGUAACAGAAGGUUUUUGACUGCACACACACAAAAAAAGAAAUUUAAAAUGUUUCUGGGAAUAUUUAUUUAAGGGAAGAGAAAACAAUGUACAUAAAUCUGUCUAGCAAGCCUUAAAAUCCAAUUCGCCACUAGAUAGCUUUAGAGAAUUUUCUUUUCCCAGCAUGUUUCUUUACAAAAGAAAAUACAGGUAAUGCUCCUUAAAAUGGAGCACAGAAGGGAUAUUGUGUGGAAUUUGAAGCUGCAGUGGUGAUGGAUCCUUCUGCACCUGGAGGAUUAACAACAAGUUAAAUCAACGCUUAGCUAAGCAUACCAAGCUUUGCUUGGGCAGAAAUGGCUUGACCUCGCCUUUGUUUCCAGCCAACAGCAUCACAGCUGUAAAUGAUGCACUUGCCUUGUUAAUCUUCCUUUAAUGUUAAUUAGCUAGUUGCUCUCAGCUUCAUUGUCUUAAACAGAUGAGUUUUAAUUUAAGUCAGAACUGAAGCUGUGGAACAUCUGAAGGAUUAUUUUUUUGAGAAAAUUGCUGGGGUCCUGGGAUUGACAUGGGUGGAAUUUUUCAAUUUGUGUUGGCUUCCUUUUAAGAAAUUACAUUAUUUACACACCAAAAUAUUUAUAGUAAAGAAGUAAGAGCUAAGAGAAGUAAAAGCUGACCAUAUACUGCAAGACAUUGAAUUAGACAAUCAAAACAUCAGAUGUGCGGCCUGUUAGAAGCUCCAUUGCUAGCUGUUAUCCCAAGACUUUCAGUUGGUGGGCAGCCGUAGAAGGUCUCUGAAGUGGCUUAACUUUGGAACUCUUGCACAAUAUAAAGAGAGUGCCUUUAGAGAAUCCGAUCAGAGAAACUCUGAUUUUUAAAAAUUGUUCCCAUGAGAGAGCAAUCAACAGCAGGGGUGUAAGUUAAUAUCUAAUGUUUAUUCUACACUGAUCACUCAUAAUUAAUCUCUGGAGGAAAAAAAGAUGCUUAAUAAAGGUUAUUUUCUAUAUUUUAUAUUAAUGGAUACAAUGGAAAAAGUAUUAAUAUGUUGCUAUGUGAAGAAAUACAGGACCCCGAGUGGCAGGCUCUACUACUUUACCAAAGGUUAUAGACACGAAAACAAAAUAAUGUUUUUUUCCAUAAUGACUUUUCUCAGCAUCUCACAGUUCCCCUUAGAAGAAACAUUAUUUACAACUGCCACCUUUUUUUGGCAGUGUGUAUUUUUAAAUGGCAUACCUUUCUAUUUUCUCCUUAACCUACUUUCAUUUGACAUUCAAAUUACAGUUGCUAUAGCUGUAGCUUGUAUUCUGAAUGUCAAACUGGAAAGAAGUAAGACGGGUUAUUCAAACAAAAAAAGAAAAGAAAAUCGAGUCUUACGUGAAGUAGGAAGAAUGUUCUAAAAAUUCCUUUUGACAGAAUACGAUAAACAAGUUUGCACACCUUUACCUACCUACACUGCUGUUCUUACAGUACGACAAUGGAACAUCUGUGCUGUCAAUGGUUCCAGUUAUAAGGACAUACCCAAACAUGUGGGGAAUGUUAGGCAGGCAUGCCAAGCGGCAUUAUCAAAAUGUUUUCAAUGUACGACAUGUUGAUAAACCAAUAAGGCCACAACAGAAAGUUUGCUUUGAUGCUCAGUGUGCUCAUAUUACAUAAGAAUUUAAAGAACUGGGCUCUAAGAUAAUUCAUGUUGAUUAUUCCCUAGAUCCUGUAGCAGAGACUAUUCUUUCUAGUGAAAGAACCAAAAAUAACAACUGGUUUUAAUUACGUAAGCUCUUGUUUUUCAAAUGUCGCAAGCUAUAACCUUAGUUAUUGUUCUUUAAUGUCUUAUUCAGUGCAACUGGAACUCACUAAUAUCUAAAACUUUUGGUUACAGAAUCCCCACCACAUGGAACCUUUCAUUAAGCAACUCUAGACAUGCAUCUGUUUUGUGAGUCACACUAUGGUAUAUUUGGAAAUGCACCAAUUCCAAGAUUUAGCUUGGGUACACUUUUUGCAAGUUGAGGUUUGACAAAAUCGUAAGUCCAAAUACUUUUGAUUUUAAAGGGGCCAUAUAGUCAGAAAAGACUAAAAAACAAACAUAUCUAGUAUGCUUUCUUUUAUAAAAAAAAUGUUUUAUUACAAAAACAUUUUGCAGUGCAUACCCCUUCUUCCAACUUGUCCCUUCUAUUGGGGGGAGUGGGUCUUUCUAGUACAGGGUAAAUACAGUAUAUUUCUAGCUGGUAUCAUUUCCUUCACAGCAAGGUUAGGUUUAUGUUUAUCUUGAAGACUGCAUUUUUUAAAUGAGACUGAUUUUGUAACGCAAGCAUAUUAAAUAUAUUUUUGUUUUUGAGCCUGAAAAUGGCCUUUUCGUGAAAAUUUAUGCUUCAAAUUUGUUUCCAUUUUCUAUUUAGCUCUAAUGUGAAUAUGCAAAUUCGGUGUUGGAUUUAGUUCAGUAUAUAGCAUUUAUGUUGGACUUGCAGGCAGAUGCACCAGUUGUGUAGGCAUUUGAGUUGGAAUUGAUGCCAGUUACACUGGGUGUGUUGGCAUUUGCUAUAGAUUUGCAGGCAGAUGCACUAGGUGGGUAGCAGGUGCAUAAUAACUAAGGAAGCAGAGGGGGGCCCCAGGAAGUAUAGGGGCCCCAUGAGGCCCUAAUUCAUAUACAAUAAAUAUUGGUAAAACAGGUCAAACAUUUUGAGGGCCUGAAAAAUAGUUUGCUGUGGGGCCCAGUAAUAUCUAGUUACACCAGUGAGUAUAUAAGCAAGCCAAUUGGCAAACUCUUCACACCAUUCACUCUUAAGUUUGCAAGCAAUUUACCAAAGGAUUACUGUCGUUUGAACAGCAAUUAUGAGCAAAGAGGCAUUUCUAUAUAUGGUGGAUUCCCUGAGUGAGUGAAGCUGUCACUCAUCAUGUACAGCAUAAUAGGAAUCUGCUUUCCUCUGUUUAAAUCUCGGUUUUUUUUCUGGAAGUUUUCUUCCCACCAUGACAGUCUUGUGUAUUUACAUCCCUGAUAGUCUUUAUCUCUGUGUUGUAUCCUGAAUCCCUGUAUUCAAAGUGAGACCGUCCAGAUCUCUGUAUUCUGUUACCCUAUUUUAUGUUUAUUCCUCUCUUUCACCUUGAGAGCUCAGCCAUAGGCAGCAGCCCAGCUCUGUAAUAAAACCCAGGACACCACUUAAGCAUAGAUUGCUUUGCUCUUUUUUCUAACAUAACAAUGCAGUGAGGUUGCUGUGCUAGAUAAACACAGCUGACCCUACUAUUAUUGUGCUGGGACUGUGACAUAAAUAUUGUCAGAAUAUCUCUGCAGCAGGCUGCUUGCCACUCACAGAACAAACUAGCUAAACUCAAAAGGCUCAUAGACCUAACGGCAAGUGACAAAGCUUUCACAGUCAACAGCAGUCCCUAAAGAAUCAUCAUAAGGCCUGACAUCUUUUUAUAUGCAAUGAACGCUUUUGCUGUGCUUCUUUUAGCUUUUUCAGAUUCUUUCUCAUCAGAGAAAUGGGUAAAGGUUUUGAACUAAUACUGUAAAUAUUUGAAAAUAUACCCUAUUUAUAAAGAUUUACAUUCACUUUAUUUUAUCUAUUAAUGUUCAGUAAUACAUGUUACCUCCCAGGGUGCUGCAUUUAUUUGCAUAUUUAGUAUUUGUAUCUGCAUUUACAUGAUGCUCAUACAAAAAUGGCAAAAAUUGUGCUCAAAAUAUUUGGGUUAUGUUUUUUAAUUAGUACAGGUAUGGCAUCAGUUAUCCAGAAAGCUCAGAAUUACGGAAAGGCCAUCUCCUAUAGAUUCCAUUU